AUUGAACGCUGGCGGCAGGCCUAACACAUGCAAGUCGAACGAGUGGCGGACGGGUGAGUAAUGUCUGGGAAACUGCCUGAUGGAGGGGGAUAACUAGUGGAAACUGUCGCUAAUCCCGCAUACCAUCAGAUGUGCCCAGAUGGUAUGAGCUUGUUGGUGGGGUCACGGCGCACCAAGGCGACGAUCCCUAGCUGGUCUGAGAGGAUGAACAGCCACACUGGAACUGAGACACGGUCCAGACUCCCACGGGAGGCAGCAGUGGGGAAUAUUGCACAAUGGGCGAAAGCCUGAUGCAGCCAUGCCGCGUGUAUGAAGAAGGCCUUCGGGUUGUAAAGUACUUUCAGCGGGGAGGCGUUACCCGCAGAAGAAGCACCGGCUAACUCCGUGCCAGCAGCCGCGGUAAUUC
rnacentral:rRNA from 1 species